rnacentral:rRNA from 1 species
UACAGAGGUCCCAAGCGUUGUUCGGAUUCAUUGGGCGUAAAGGGUGCGUAGGCGGCGCGGUAAGUCGGGUGUGAAAUCUCGGAGCUUAACUCCGAAACUGCAUUCGAUACUGCCGUGCUUGAGGACUGGAGAGGAGACUGGAAUUCUCGGUGUAGCGGUGAAAUGCGUAGAUAUCGAGAGGAACACCUGCGGCGAAGGCGGGUUGCUGGGCUGACACUGACGCUGAUGCGCGAAAGCCAGGGGAGCGAACGGG